GGAUGGGCUGAAUGGUCUCACCGAAAGGUGUGUACUGUUCUGGUCUGUCCUUUUCUUCUGGGGAACCAAAGUGCACUUUGUUGGGUGCUUUGGGGAUCCAGGACUUUUACUUUGAAAAAAUUAGAGUGUUUAAAGCGGGCAUAUUGCUUGAAUACAUUAGCAUGGAAUAAUAGAAUAGGACUUUGGUUCUAUUUUGUUGGUUUCUAGGACCGAAGUA
rnacentral:rRNA from 1 species